rnacentral:rRNA from 1 species
UACGAAGGGGGCGAGCGUUGUUCGGAAUUACUGGGCGUAAAGGGCGCGUAGGCGGCCUUUCUAAGUCGAAACGUGAAAUCCCUGGGCUCAACCCCAGGAACUGCGUCCGAUACUGGGAGGCUUGAAUCCGGGAGAGGGAUGUGGAAUUCCAGGUGUGAGCGGUGAAAUGACGUAGAUAUCUGGAGGAACACCGGUGGCGAAGGCGGCAUCCUGGACCGGUAUUGACGCUGACGGCGCGAAAGCCAGGG